GCCCGGUUAGUUCAACCGCAGAAUCUCUGGCCUACACCCAGAAGACGAGGGUGCGACUCCUUCACCGGGCACCA
rnacentral:tRNA from 1 species